AUUAAAUUGACUUUAUUGACAUUUUUCGUAAAGGUACAGCUUCUUUGGAAGGAUCCUAGAAAUACGGGUUUGAAGGAGAAGACAGCAUAUCGACUGGAGCUAAUUCGUAGACCGAACAUCGGUCUCAUCAGGUAGUACCACAAUAUUUAUAAUCAUCAAUGACUCCAACCUUUUUCGCUUCUUCAUUGCUUACAAUUAUGGAGUUAUUUAAAACCUCAAAUUUUUCAAAAUUUUGUUGUUUGAAGAGACAAGCCUAAUGGCUGAUUCAGGAAACUGGGAUGUACCCAUUCUGAGUGGUUGAAAAUUGGGCGUAUUUAGCUUUUCUCAGGAGGGGGUCAUACGGUCCGAUCUGGUUUAUAGGUGUAAUGAUUAUGUACCACGCGGUUUGCUGAGAGAGGGAGCCGAGUCUUUAGAACCAGCUGAGGGAUUUCUGGAAGAUUCUGGAAUGUACCAGUUUGACAGAAAGAGAUUAGGGCGAUGAAGAUUUUAUAUCGCCACCUUCUGAAAGUGCCCAUUGAGACAGAUCACGGUCGCUUUACCGUUUAUGUCCGUGUUUGUAUAUUUUUAUCAGUUUCUUUCCAUCAUGCUGUGAUACUGUUUCGUGAAUAUG